rnacentral:lncRNA from 1 species
AUAUGAGAUACUCUAUACUUUAAUAGGCAGAAGGGAGGUUAGGGCAUACCUUGUGAUCAGACUUGGAGGCAGUGACGGUGCAAGAGACAAGGUAGAGGGGAGGUAGAGAGGCAAAGAUCGAAAGUCAAAGGACAUCACCAUGAUUGGAUUCAAGAGCUUAGAGAUUGAAUAUGCCUUUCUCAUCAAGAUUUUUCCUUAGUCCUUUCCCCCACUCCCUCAAUUGAGUCUCAAAGAGAAAGAAAGAGAGAGAGA